ensembl:lincRNA
CAUUUAUUUAUAUUUUUGAAAAGUUCCUUUAUUAUUCAGUCUCUUUUAUUUUUCUACUCAAACUUUAGACUAACAUUUUUAAGUUCCAGAAAGUUUCCAGCCAAGUUUUAAUUGCAGUUCCAUUAAAUUUACAUAUUACUUUGAGCAGAAUCAAUAGAUUUGUAGUAUUGCUUUCCUAUCCUUGAAUCUGGAGUGCUCCCUAAUCAUGAAUAGAUCUUCUUUUAUGUCCUUGAUACAAUUUCAUUGCUCUUUUAAAUACUAAUGCAUUUAUCUUAAAGGCUUCCCUGGUGGCUCAGUGAUAAAGAAUCCGCCUGCCCGUGCAGGAGACACAGGUUUGAUCUCUGGGUCGGGAAGAUCCCCUGGAGGAGGAAAUGGCAACCCACUCCAGUAUCCUUGCCUGGGAAAUCCCAUGGACAGAGGAGCCUGGUGGGCUACAGUCCAUGGAGUCUCAAAGAGUCAGAUUCUACUUAGUGACUAAACAACAGCAACAUAUAUCUUAAUAACUUUAUUCCUAGGUUAAAAAAAAAUAAAACUCAGAAAUCACUUCGCAUUCCCCCUCCCCAGUCGAAUCUAUCUUCUAUUACAGUAGUUCUCAACCAAGAGUGAUUUUGUUCCUCAGGGGACAGUUGGCAAUGUCCAGAAAUAGUUUUAGUUGUCAUGAAGGGGAAGAGCUUCUAGUGGGGAGAGGCCAGGGAUGCUGGUAAACGUCCUACAAUGUCCGGGACAGUCCCCACUGUAAAUGAUUAUCUGACCCCAAGCGUCAGUAGUGCCGUGGUGGAGAAUCUCUGAUUUGUCUAUAAUGUGCAAAGAGUCUUUUCCCAAUGGAGUGUUCCUACUGGACUAAUGGAAUUUCCAUCAGUACGAGAUGUGAAUCUACAUAAAGUGUCAAAAGGGGUACCCUGUCCUCUGGGUAUCUACUCUGUGUCCUGAGUUGAGCAGCCCCCCAUGAGAGGCUGCACCCCUGGCCUGCAUGGCAGCCAAGAGCACCGAGGUGUGUGGUCCUCAACGUGGCUCGGACUGUCACGGGUCUGUUGGAGAGACCGCCAAUCGGCCAGUCUUUGGAGGGAGACCAAAGAAGGCUUGCAAGGCAACCCGUGGUUCCUUUUUUCUGGCCGUGCCGCAGGGCACAGGAUCUUAAUUCCCUGACCAGGAUGGAACCCAUGCCCCCUGCUUUGGAAGCCCAGAGUCUUAAUCACUGCACCUCUGGGGAAGUCCCCUGUGAUUCCUUUUAAAUAAACUUCAAGAACUGGUAAAAGUCACCAUUAGUAACAAAGCAGGGAAGUGGUUGCUGGGGGUGGUAGGGCCACAAGGGAACUUUCUGGGGAUUAUUUCUGGCACACUGGGUCUGGUUCUCAGAUGAAGAGUUGUUCCCCGACUCUCCCUUUUUAUUCCUUAAAAAAUGUACACCCCUGGCCUCCACCAUCUCAUUUCCCUUUCUUUCUCCCUAGAGGCAACCAGCAUCCCAAAAUUGAGAGGAAUCUUUCACAGUCAUAUUUUUGUAUUUUCCAAACAGCAUAGCUUUUAGUGUUGUUUUUAAACAUUAAAGAACCACACUCUGUGUAUCAUCCUGCAUUUUCUUUUUC